UGUAACUCUGUGGUGUCUGUUCACACUGCUAUGCUUUAUCUUGGCCAGGUCGCAGUUGCAAAUGAGAACUUGUUCUCAACUAGCCUACCUGGUUAAAUAAAGGUGAAAUAAAAAAAUAAAUAGUGAAAGUUCAACAUAUGCUGUUAUGCUGAAGGAGAUCCAGUCUGGUCUACAAUGUUCGUGAUAAUAGCAACCCAGUAAAAUUAUAUUUGAGUCAAAGUCUGUUAAACUAGUCGCUGAUUCUAGCCAUCCCUUCUGGUUGGUUCUAGUCAGGCAGCUUAGUCUCCCAUUCAGAUGACCCCCACUUUUGUUAGUGUCUUAUUGGUCAAGGUCACACCAAAUACUUAUCACCACAUCUCCUUCAGCCUGUCAGUGGACUUGAUUCCCAGGACUUCAGUUAGUAUAUGACCCCAGCAUGCCUUGUGGUCAGAAACAUGCUUUCCCCAUCCUGAUGAGCACUUCCACAGUUAGCCCUUCUGUUGAACUUUUCCUCCUUGGAUUGAAUCCCUGCAUGUCUGAUUUUUAUUGUGAAUGCAUCUUAACUUAAUGUCUGUUCUCACUGGACGUGAUUCUCAGUUAUCUAAACCAUGAGUGGUCAGGUGUGUCUUCCAUUAAACUCCCCUUAACCUGGACACCCGCCGCAUCCUUGUUCUGACCGGACAUUCUGUAGUGGUUGCUACCGGGCUUAAGCCAGCACUUAAGAUUUCUUAUUACAUUCGUGGUUCUUUGAUUCUAUACAACCCUACCACUAUUUUUUAAGUAUAAAAGUAUUUGGUUUAAUAUACACUUAAGGAUCUAAAGUAAAAGUAUAAAUCAUUUCAAAUUCUAUAUUUAUUUAUGUAUAGCCAGGGGCACACUCCAACAUUCAGACAAUUUACAAAUGAAGCAUGUGUGUUUAGUGAGUCCGCCAGAUCAGAGGCAGUAGGGACGGUCUGUUUGGUGUGAGAAUUGGACCAUUUUCCUGUCCUGCUAAGCAUUCAAAAUGUUAUAUGAGUACUUUUGGUUGUCAAGGAAAAUGUGUGGAGAAAGUAUGAUAUUUUCUUAAAAGGAAUGUAGUGAAGUAAAACGAAUGAAAUAUAUGAAUAUUAAAGUUCAGAUACCCCCAAAAACUACUUAAUUAAAAAUACAUUAAAUUAUUACCAAGUACUUUACACCACUGCCGGAAGGUUGAACGUAUGUUAGGAUCGUAAGAAAAUCCAUAUGUAAAUUGUUAGGAUUGUAAGAAUAGCCAUGCGUAAAACAUUAAAUGUAACAGUUAAAAUAGAUCUGUAAAUGUACAAACCUUCUGACUUAGAAUAUGUGGACAACUACAAAUACCUAGGUGUCUGGUUAGACUGUAAACUCUCCUUCCAGACCCACAUCAAACAUCUCCAAUCCAAAGUUAAAUCUAGAAUUGGCUUCCUAUUUCGCAACAAAACAUCCUUCACUCAUGCUGCCAAACAUACCCUUGUAAAACUGACCAUCCUACCAAUCCUCAACUUCGGCGAUGUCAUUUACAAAAUAGCCUCCAAUACCCUACUCAACAAAUUGGAUGCAGUCUAUCAGUGCCAUCGGUUUUGUCACCAAAGCCCCAUAUACUACCCAUCAUUGUGACCUGUACGCUCUCGUUGGAUGGCCCUCGCUUCAUACUCGUCGCCAAACCCACUGUCUCCAUGUCAUCUACAAGACCCUGCUAGGUAAAGUCCCCCCUUAUCUCAGCUCGCUGGUCAUCAUAGCAUCACCCACCUGUAGCACGCUCUCCAGCAGGUAUAUCUCUCUGGUCACCCCCAAAACCAAUUAUUUAUUUGGCCGCCUCCUUCCAGUUCUCUGCUGCCAAUGACUGGAACGAACUACAAAAAUCUCUGAAACUGGAAACACUUAUCUCCCUCACUAGCUUUAAGCACCAGCUGUCAGAGCAGCUCACAGAUUACUGCACCUGUACAUAGCCCACCUAUAAUUUAGCCCAAACAACUACCUCUUUCCCUACUGUAUUUAUUUAAUUUAUUUAUUUUGCUCCUUUGCACCCCAUUUUUAUUUUUACUUUGCACAUUCUUCCACUGCAAAUCUACCAUUCCAGUGUUUUACUUGCUAUAUUGUAUUUACUUUGCCACCAUGGCCUUUUUUUGCCUUUACCUCCCUUAUCUCACCUCAUUUGCUCACAUCGUAUUUAGACUUGUUUAUACUGUAUUAUUGACUGUAUGUUUGUUUUACUCCAUGUGUAACUCUGUCGUUGCAUGUGUCGAACUGCUUUGCUUUAUCUUGGCCAGGUCGCAAUUGUAAAUGAGAACUUGUUCUCAACUUGCCUACCUGGUUAAAUAAAGGUGAAAAAAAUAUAUAUAAAAAAAAAAUAAUAAUAAAAUAAAAUCUUUGUUUUCUUUAUACUGUAUAUUUUGGUUAGGUCAGGGUGUGGCGAGGGUGGUAUGUGUGUUUUUGUCUCAUCUAGGGUGUUUGUACUGGCUAGGGGUUUUGUAGAUUUAUGGGGUUGUUUCCAUCUAGGUGUUUAUGUAGGUCUAUGGUUGCCUAGAUUGGUUCUCAAUUAGAGGCAGGUGUUUAUCGUUGUCUCUGAUUGGGAAACAUAUUUAGGCAGCCAUCUUCUUUGGGUAUUUCGUGGGUUAUUGUCUAUGUCUAGUUGCACGUUAGCACAUUGUUUAUAUAGCGGUCACGGUCGUCUUAUCGUUUUUGGUUGUUUUUUGUUUGUGUUCUUCAUUAAAUAAAGAAUAAUGUAUUCUAA
ensembl:lncRNA